GCUGGGAUAGCUCAGUUGUUAGAGCACAGGUCUCUUAAUCUCAGGGUUGUAGGUUCGAGCCUUACGUAAGGCA